rnacentral:rRNA from 1 species
GAAUGCUGACAUAAGUAACGAUAAAGCGGGUGAAAAGCCCGCUCGCCGGAAGACCAAGGGUUCCUGUCCAACGUUAAUCGGGGCAGGGUGAGUCGACCCCUAAGGCGAGGCCGAAAGGCGUAGUCGAUGGGAAACGGGUUAAUAUUCCCGUACUUGGUGUUACUGCGAAGGGGGGACGGAGAAGGCUAUGUUGGCCGGGCGACGGUUGUCCCGGUUUAAGCGUGUAGGUGUGUGUUCCAGGUAAAUCCGGUUCACUUUAACACUGAGGCGUGACGACGAGGCACUACGGUGCUGAAGCAACAAAUGCCCUGCUUCCAGGAAAAGCCUCUAAGCAUCAGGUAACACGAAAUCGUACCCCAAACCGACACAGGUGGUCAGGUAGAGAAUACCAAGGCGCUUGAGA